UACGUAGGGGGCAAGCGUUGUCCGGAUUUAUUGGGCGUAAAGAGCGUGUAGGCGGCCAUACAGGUCCGUUGUGAAAACUGGAGGCUUAACCUCCAGACGUCGAUGGAAACCGUAUGGCUAGAGUCCGGAAGAGGAGAGUGGAAUUCCUGGUGUAGCGGUGAAAUGCGCAGAUAUCAGGAAGAACACCCGUGGCGAAGGCGGCUCUCUGGGACGGUACUGACGCUGAGACGCGAAAGCGUUGGGGGAGCGAACAGG
rnacentral:rRNA from 1 species